rnacentral:rRNA from 1 species
CACGUAGGGGCAAGCGUUGUCCGGAUUUAUUGGGCGUAAAGAGCUCGUAGGCGGCUUAGUAAGUCGGGUGUGAAACCUCCAGGCUCAACCUGGAGACGCCACCCGAUACUGCUGUGGCUAGAGUCCGGUAGGGGAGACUGGAAUUCCUGGUGUAGCGGUGAAAUGCGCAGAUAUCAGGAGGAACACCGGUGGCGAAGGCGGGUCUCUGGGCCGAUACUGACGCUGAGGAGCGAAAGCGUGGGGAGCGAACAGG